GGAAGCGUAGCUCAGCAGGGAGAGCGCCUGCUUCACACGCAGGAGGUCAUCGGUUCGAGCCCGGUCGUUUCCACCA
rnacentral:tRNA from 1 species